GAGGGUAUAGCUCAAGUGGUAGAGCACCUGCUUAGCAUGCAUGAGGUUCUGGGUUCAAUCCCCAGUACCUCCU
rnacentral:tRNA from 1 species